AUUGAACGCUGGCGGCAGGCUUAACACAUGCAAGUCGAGCGGAGAUGAGGUGCUUGCACCUUAUCUUAGCGGCGGACGGGUGAGUAAUGCUUAGGAAUCUGCCUAUUAGUGGGGGACAACAUUCCGAAAGGAAUGCUAAUACCGCAUACGUCCUACGGGAGAAAGCAGGGGAUCUUCGGACCUUGCGCUAAUAGAUGAGCCUAAGUCGGAUUAGCUGGUUGGUGGGGUAAAGGCCUACCAAGGCGACGAGCUGUAGCGGGUCUGAGAGGAUGAUCCGCCACACUGGGACUGAGACACGGCCCAGACUCCUACGUGAGGCAGCAGUGGGGAAUAUUGGACAAUGGGGGGAACCCUGAUCCAGCCAUGCCGCGUGUGUGAAGAAGGCCUUAUGGUUGUAAAGCACAUUAAGCGAGGAGGAGGCUACUGAGACUAAUACUCUUGGAUAGUGGACGUUACUCGCAGAAUAAGCACCGGCUAACUCUGUGCCAGCCGCCGCGGUAA
rnacentral:rRNA from 1 species